rnacentral:lncRNA from 1 species
CGCUUUCUGUGUCUAGGUAGCUAUAGCAAGAAAUGCCGUCAAGAAAUGCCGUUUUGAUUUAACUUGCUACCGCACUGUGCCGUGGGGGCUCAAGGAAGGUGGUGACAUGCCUGAGAAAAAUACAAAGGUUUGUUCCACAGUAGCUCUCCAACCUUUGUUGUGUAAAUCUAAGCAGGCAUAUGGAGCGGCAGCGGCUUUUUUCAAUUCCAGUCUUCCAAGAAGGGUUGACAUCCUUGUCCCAAAUGCAACAUUGCCACAAGAACCAAAGAACCCAUGCAAAAUGCUAGAUGCCAUCACCGCUUUGCUUCAUGACGAAAUCAAGACCAG